UGGGCAACCUGCCCCAGACUCUGGGAUAACUCCGGGAAACCGGGACUAAUACCGGAUACUCCGAUCGGACGACAUCGUCUGACCGGGAAAGCUCCGACGGUCUGGGAUGGGCCCGCGGCCUAUCAGCUUGUUGGCGAGGUAACGGCUCACCAAGGCGACGACGAGUAGCUGGUCUGAGAGGAUGGCCAGCCACAUUGGGACUGAGACACGGCCCAGACUCCGUACGGG
rnacentral:rRNA from 1 species